AUUGAACGCUGGCGGCAUGCCUUACACAUGCAAGUCGAACGGCAGCAUGAUCUAGCUUGCUAGAUUGAUGGCGAGUGGCGAACGGGUGAGUAAUACAUCGGAACGUGCCCUGUAGUGGGGGAUAACUAGUCGAAAGAUUAGCUAAUACCGCAUACGACCUGAGGGUGAAAGUGGGGGACCGCAAGGCCUCAUGCUAUAGGAGCGGCCGAUGUCUGAUUAGCUAGUUGGUGAGGUAAAGGCUCACCAAGGCGACGAUCAGUAGCUGGUCUGAGAGGACGAUCAGGCACACUGGGACUGAGACACGGUCCAGACGCCUACGGGAGGCAGCAGUGGGGAAUUUGGGACAAUGGGCGCAAGCCUGAUCCCGCCAUACCGCGUGGGUGAAGGAGGCCUUCGGGUUGUCAAGCCCUUUUGUUGGGAAAGAAAAGCAGCCGGUUAAUACCCCGCUGUUCUGACGGUACCCAAAGAAUAAGCACCGGCUAACUUCGUG
rnacentral:rRNA from 1 species